UACGGGGGGGGCAAGCGUUGUUCGGAAUUACUGGGCGUAAAGGGUCUGUAGGUGGCUUGCUAAGUCAGACGUGAAAUCCCUCGGCUUAACCGGGGAACUGCGUCUGAUACUGGCGAGCUUGAGUGCAGGAGAGGAACGCGGAAUUCCAGGUGUAGCGGUGAAAUGCGUAGAUAUCUGGAGGAACACCGGUGGCGAAGGCGGCGUUCUGGACUGCAACUGACACUGAGGCGCGAAAGCUAGGGGAGCAAACGGG
rnacentral:rRNA from 1 species